UACCAAGCAAGCACGCUUCGCGCGCUCCGACAAAAUGGCGGCUGCAAGAGGAGGAAUUUGGAGACCGUAUAAGGAGCUUCAGGCAAGCGUGGAACGAGCUUUAUAUAAGAAGAGUCCAGAAAUAUACCAUGAACUUGAAGUUGCUUUGAAGAAGUUCAAACCGGAUUUCAUUUCUUUGCUGAAAAAUCCGGUA